rnacentral:rRNA from 1 species
CAAACGACUCUCGGCAACGGAUAUCUCGGCUCACGCAUCGAUGAAGAACGUAGCAAAAUGCGAUACUUGGUGUGAAUUGCAGAAUCCCGUGAACCAUCGAGUUUUUGAACGCAAGUUGCGCCCGAAGCCAUUUGGCCGAGGGCACGUCUGCCUGGGCGUCACG